CAUUAGAUAACUUAUAUAAAGUACUAAGCUUUUAACUUAGGGAAGGUUCUCCUCUAAUGA
rnacentral:tRNA from 1 species